rnacentral:sRNA from 1 species
AUGUACCCACGUACACUCCGGUUCCUCCGCGCCGUCCGCACCUCCCUGACGGCUGCUCGCUACGUUUUGUUAGCC